rnacentral:rRNA from 1 species
AUUGAACGCUGGCGGCAGGCCUAACACAUGCAAGUCGAGCGGAUGAAGGGAACUUGCUCCUGGAUUCAGCGGCGGACGGGUGAGUAAUGCCUAGGAAUCUGCCUGGUAGUGGGGGAUAACGUCCGGAAACGGGCGCUAAUACCGCAUACGUCCUGAGGGAGAAAGUGGGGGAUCUUCGGACCUCACGCUAUCAGAUGAGCCUAGGUCGGAUUAGCUAGUUGGUGGGGUAAAGGCCUACCAAGGCGACGAUCCGUAACUGGUCUGAGAGGAUGAUCAGUCACACUGGAACUGAGACACGGUCCAGACUCCUACGGGAGGCAGCAGUGGGGAAUAUUGGACAAAGGGCGAAAGCCUGAUCCAGCCAUGCCGCGUGUGUGAAGAAGGUCUUCGGAUUGUAAAGCACUUUAAGUUGGGAGGAAGGGCAGUAAGUUAAUACCUUGCUGUUUUGACGUUACCAACAGAAUAAGCACCGGCUAACUUCGUG